AAUGUUAAAUUAAGGUAGAAGUACUAGUGCUCGACGCUGCACUAGUAUUCGACAUGGGCACUUUAUGUCAAAGUGACAAGGAUUAAAUUUGAAUACAGAAAAAUCUUCGCUGUUCAAAUUUAACCUAUAUUACUUUGACAUAAAGUGCCCAUGUCGAAUACUAGUGCAGCGUCAAGCACUAGUACUUCUACCUUAUUUCUUUUACAAUAAUUUAAAUUUCAGCUGCAAACCAGAUUCAGAUCAGAUCUUCACAUGCCAGAGUACCUCUGUCAACAUCAAACAGUGAAAAUGCACAAACUUCAGCUACUGCAUCUACGAGUACAGGCCAAGCUUGUCUGAAAUCUGGAAUAAGCAUUCGACUGGAUAAAGCGGCAAUACCAGCUAAACGCCCCCGCUUUGCUGACAAACAACCUGGCGGAUCUAUAGGGAUACUCUAGUUCAGCGGUCGGCAACAAGCGGCCCUCUCACUCGCGGCCCGCGAGCCCCCCUGGCUAUUUUGUAUGUAAUAUUGUCAAACAACAAUGUCUGAUUAAAGUCACACAUAUUAACAAAAGUGCGGCCCGCGUCAACUUCCUUAACUACUAUGUGGCCCUUGGCUGCUAAAAGGUUGCCGACCGCUGCUCUAGUUCUUGCUUCUGAUAAUCGAAAAACGCAGCGAGCAAAUCA